AAACUGCUCAUGGGGCAGGGGAUGACAACCACAGUGCUGGAGGAGGCUCCAGGGAGAACCUUCUGCAGCCUUCGAAGGCCUAGGGGGGCUCCAGGAGAGCUGGAGAGGGACUGGGGGCCCUAGAAUGACAGGACAAUGAGCAGCCUUCUACUGAAAUAAGAAAGAUUUAGAUGGAAUAUUAGGAAUGAAUUCUUCCCUGUGAGGGUGGGGAGGCCCUGCACAUGGAGAAGUCCUUUCUGCCCAACCAAGUAGGGAAAACUCUAUGGUAUUCCUGACAAACACCAUCCCAGCACCUAAAGCAGCUGGAAUUCAUCAGGGGCAUCGUAAUUAAAAACCCACACAGAAGAAAGGAGCUGUCACCCACAAAUGCACAGUGCUGAGAACGGAAUUUAAGGAAAUCUCUUUUUCCCCUCUGCCAAAGCAGAGAUGAGUGAGGCAAAAGCUCCAGCUGAAAAUUACUCAAGGAACAGUGGUGUUAAUAGAAACCUGCCUGGGGGAAUUAAUGCUCAUCAUCCCAACCUUCCUGUGCCUGCCUGGAUUGGUCUCCUUCCUGGAUAUCUGUGUCACACUUGGGCUGCAUAACUCCCUGCCAGACUUCCAUCUUGUACUAUUUUAGGUAAUAAAUGACUCAAAUACCAAAAAGCAUCACAUUCAUUUUUAUGCCAGUAGCCAGAAGUCUUAUUUCCUAAUAGUUACAGCAGGAUUUAAUGCACACUUAGUGCUUUUGAGAUAUAAAGUGUUAUUUAAGUGUCAUCAUAAAGUACUCAUGGAAAAAAGCCAGUUUAAAAAAAAAAAUCAAAGAAAAUUCAGCAGGUUAAAAAAAAAUCAAAGAUAAUUCAGCAGGUUUA